rnacentral:rRNA from 1 species
AAGAGUCCACAUCGACGGGGAGGUUUGGCACCUCGAUGUCGGCUCAUCACAUCCUGGGGCUGUAGUAGGUCCCAAGGGUUGGGCUGUUCGCCCAUUAAAGUGGUACGCGAGCUGGGUUCAGAACGUCGUGAGACAGUUCGGUCCCUAUCCGUCGCAGGCGUAGGAAAUUUGAGAAGACCUGUCCUUAGUACGAGAGGACCGGGAUGGACGUACCUCUGGUGUACCAGUUGUUCUGCCAAGGGCAUGGCUGGGUAGCUAUGUACGGAAUGGAUAAGCGCUGAAAGCAUCUAAGCGCGAAGCCAACUUCAAGAUAAGAUUUCCCACCGCAAGGGUAAGACCCCAGAAAGACUAUCUGGUUGAUAGGUCGAAGGUGUAAGUGCAGCAAUGUAUUUAGCUUAUCGAUACUAAUAGGUCGAGGACUUGACCAAU